AGUACGGCCGCAAGGUUAAAACUCAAAUGAAUUGACGGGGGCCCGCACAAGCGGUGGAGCAUGUGGUUUAAUUCGAUGCAACGCGAAGAACCUUACCUGAUCUUGACAUCCACAAAACUUUCCAGAGAUGGAUUGGUGCCUUCGGGAACUGUGAGACAGGUGCUGCAUGGCUGUCGUCAGCUCGUGUUGUGAAAUGCUGGGUUAAGUCCCGCAACGAGCGCAACCCUUAUCCUUUGUUGCCAGCGGUCCGGCUGGGAACACAAAGGAGACUGCCAGUGAUAAACUGGAGGAAGGUGGGGAUGACGUUAAGUCAUCAUGGCCCUUACGACCAGGGCUACACACGUGCUACAAUGGCAUAUACAAAGAGAAGCAACCUCGCGAGAGGAAGC
rnacentral:rRNA from 1 species